AUCACAAGUUGGGAAAGAGAAUGGAGAGGAUUCCCUGUAAGGAGAGAGAGUCCUUAUAUGGGCCACCAAAAUGUCAUGGACUUUCUUGCAAAAAUGCCUGUUUGGGAUUCCUCAGAGUACAGACAAAAAGGAAGGCUUGAUCAGCAUGUGGUGGAUCUGAAGAUUCAAAGAGGUGCCACAGCUCAAAAGUAGACAUUUUGGCAAAUGUGAAGAAGUGAGAUUCAAUGAAGAUGAUAAGAAAUGAAAGGUGUUACCAAAAUUACACAAGUAUUUCUGUCAUUUUCCUACUAAAUUACAUGAAGGGGGUUGUCUGCUUAUGAGCUGCACCACCGAGCAGCAUGCCUAUCAGCGAGAAGGUGCCUGACAAUUCUCAGUUGAAAUGUCCUGACCAAGUUCCCCCAGAAAUUUAUGACUAAUAACAAAAGGGAAAAGCUACCCUCACAAGGAGAUGUCCAGUUGACACUAUCUCAACCAAAAUUAUUAAACAUAGCAUCAGCAAUCGUGGGACAAACAGACGCAAACAUCUCCUGGUGUGAGGCGAGGAAAGAAGACGACUUUACCAUGUGAACCCCUGUGGCUUCCUCAGAGACUGUCUGCUCUGGCACAUGCUCCUCCAGGUCUU
rnacentral:lncRNA from 1 species